rnacentral:rRNA from 1 species
GAUGAACGCUGGCGGCGUGCUUAACACAUGCAAGUCGAACGGAAAGGCUCAGCUUGGCGGGUGCUCGAGUGGCGAACGGGUGAGUAAAACAUGGGGUAGUUCCCCCCAGCAUUGGGGUAAGCGUCGGAAACUGGGUGUAUAACACCGGAUAGGUAACUGUCGCAGGGGGGGUGGUGGAAAGCUUUUGCGGUUGGGGAUGGGCGCGCGGCCUAUCAGCUUGUUGGUGGGGUAAUGGCUUACCAAGGCGCCGACGGGUAGCCGACCUGAGAGGGUGAACGGCCACACUGGGACUGAGACACGGCCCAGACUCCUACGGGAGGCAGCAGUGGGGAAUAUUGCACAAUGGGCGCAAGCCUGAUGCAGCGACGCCGCGUGAGGGAUGACGGCCUUCGGGUUGUAAACCCCUUUCGCCAGGGACGAAGCGUGAGUGACGGUACCUGGAGAAGAAGCACCGGCUAACUACGUG